CCUGGCGGCACUAGCGCGGUGGUCCCACCUGACCCAUGCCGAACUCAGAAGUGAAACGCCGUAGCGCCGAUGGUAGUGUGGGGUCUCCCCA
rnacentral:rRNA from 1 species